GCCCUGGACCCUGCACGUCACAAACAUACCCAAAAAGGCAUUUAUUAAAUAACGCAUGGGGAACUCUGUCGCUUGGAAUCCAGUGCACGUUACAGUUUCAUUUUCUUCUGUUACCUGCGUUUCCUCUAUGUCUGCGAGCUGUUAAUGUUGUGAGCUGACCUAUGGAGAGGCCCACAUGGCAAGGAACUGAGGCCCUCAGUCCAACAGCUUGUAAGGAAGUGAAUUCUGCCAACAACCAUGUGAGCUUGGACGUACAUCUUUUCCUGGUGGAACCUUGAGAUGAGACUGCAGCAUGGACCAACACCUUGUCUGCAGCCUUGUGAGAGACCCUGAAGCAGAGGACCCAGCUAAACCAUGUGCAAACUCCCAACCGACACAAGGAGACAACGCUCCUGGCUAUUGUGUAAACGGAUCGAGAACCGCGUCCAUUCGCGCAUCAGCUAAGGCGUAAGCAGAAUUAAAGCGCCUUCUAAUCCGACCCUCGGCAACAUGUGUGCCAUGGACAAAUGAGUUUUAAUGCCGGGCUU
rnacentral:lncRNA from 1 species